rnacentral:rRNA from 1 species
UACGGAGGGUGCAAGCGUUGUCCGGAUUUAUUGGGUUUAAAGGGUGCGUAGGUGGUUUUCUAAGUCUGGUUUGAAAGCUGGUGGCUUAACCAUCAGAUGUGGCUGGAAACUGGAGGACUUGAAUGCGUUGGCGGUAGCCGGAACGGGUCAUGUAGCGGUGAAAUGCAUAGAUAUGACCCAGAACACCGAUUGCGAAGGCAGGCUACUACGACGCGAUUGACACUGAGGCACGAGAGCAUGGGUAGCGAACAGG